GGCACUAUGGCCGAGUGGUUAAGGCGAAAGACUCGAAUUCACUAAUAGUUCGGCAUCUUUUCUCGUUUCGAGGCGCAGGUUCGAGUCCUGCUGGUGUCG